rnacentral:rRNA from 1 species
ACUCCUACGGGAGGCAGCAGUGGGGAAUAUUGCACAAUGGGCGCAAGCCUGAUGCAGCCAUGCCGCGUGUAUGAAGAAGGCCUUCGGGUUGUAAAGUACUUUCAGCAGUGAGGAAGGUAUCGUAGUUAAUAGCUGCGGUAUUUGACGUUAGCUGCAGAAGAAGCACCGGCUAACUCCGUGCCAGCAGCCGCGGUAAUACGGAGGGUGCGAGCGUUAAUCGGAAUUACUGGGCGUAAAGCGCAUGCAGGUGGUUUGUUAAGUCAGAUGUGAAAGCCCGGGGCUCAACCUCGGAAUUGCAUUUGAAACUGGCAGACUAGAGUACUGUAGAGGGGGGUAGAAUUUCAGGUGUAGCGGUGAAAUGCGUAGAGAUCUGAAGGAAUACCGGUGGCGAAGGCGGCCCCCUGGACAGAUACUGACACUCAGAUGCGAAAGCGUGGGGAGCAAACAGGAUUAGAUACCCUGGUAGCACAGAG